GACGAACGCUGGCGGCGCGCCUAACACAUGCAAGUCGAACGGAGAAUACGGGACUGAAGCCUUCGGGCAGAUGGCCUGUAUUCUUAGUGGCGGACGGGUGAGUAACACGUGAGCAACCUGCCUUCAAGAGGGGGAUAGCACCUGGAAACGGGUGGUAAUACCGCAUAAGACCACAGUGUCGCAUGGCACAGAGGUCAGAGGAGCAAUCCGCUUGAAGAUGGGCUCGCGUCCGAUUAGAUAGUUGGUGAGGUAACGGCUCACCAAGUCGACGAUCGGUAGCCGGACUGAGAGGUUGAACGGCCACAUUGGGACUGAGACACGGCCCAGACUCCUACGGGAGGCAGCAGUGGGGGAUAUUGCACAAUGGGCGAAAGCCUGAUGCAGCGACGCCGCGUGAGGGAAGACGGCCUUCGGGUUGUAAA
rnacentral:rRNA from 1 species